UACGAAGGGGGGCUAGCGUUGCUCGGAAUCACUGGGCGUAAAGCGCACGUAGGCGGACUCUUAAGUCGGGGGUGAAAGCCCAGGGCUCAACCCUGGAAUUGCCUUCGAUACUGGGAGUCUUGAGUAUGGCAGAGGUUGGUGGAACUGCGAGUGUAGAGGUGAAAUUCGUAGAUAUUCGCAAGAACACCAGUGGCGAAGGCGGCCAACUCGGGCCAUUACUGACGCUGAGGUGCGAAAGCGUGGGGGAGCAAACAGG
rnacentral:rRNA from 1 species